GAUGAACGCUGGCGGCGUGCCUAACACAUGCAAGUCGAACGGAGUUUUGAAGAAGCUUGCUUUUGAGAAACUUAGUGGCGGACGGGUGAGUAACGUGUGAGCAAUCUGCCUCUGUGAGGGGGGAUAACACAGGGAAACCUGUGCUAAUACCGCAUAACAUAUUUUAGUCGCAUGACUUUAAUAUCAAAGGAGCAAUCCGCACAGAGAUGAGCUCGCAUCUGAUUAGAUAGUUGGUGAGGUAACGGCCCACCAAGUCUGCGAUCAGUAGCCGGACUGAGAGGUUGAACGGCCACAUUGGAACUGAGAAACGGUCCAGACUCCUACGGGAGGCAGCAGUGGGGAAUAUUGGGCAAUGGGCGAAAGCCUGACCCAGCAACGCCGCGUGAGGGAAGAAGUAUUUCGGUAUGUAAAGCUCUAUCAGCAGGGAAGAAAAUGACGGUACCUGACUAAGAAGCCCCGGCUAACUACGUG
rnacentral:rRNA from 1 species